rnacentral:tRNA from 1 species
GAGGGUGUAGCUCAGUGGCAGAGUGCACGCUUAGCUUGCAUGAGGUUCUGGGUUCAAUCCCCAGUAACUCCA